UACGUAGGGGGGCUAGCGUUGUCCGGAAUCAUUGGACGUAAAGAGCGUGUAGGCGGCCCGGUAAGUCCGCUGUAAAAGUCAAAGGCUCAACCUUUGAAUGUCAGUGGAUACUGCCGGGCUAGAGUCCGGAAGAGGCGAGUGGAACUCCUGGUGUAGCGGUGGAAUGCGCAGAUAUCAGGAAGAACACCAACGGCGAAGGCAGCUCGCUAGGACGGUACUGACGCUGAGACGCGAAAGCGUGGGGAGCGAACAGG
rnacentral:rRNA from 1 species